CUCACUCCCAAAUCCUAAAUCUCUCUCUCGCAACUAUUGGAAACUAUCAUCAGACACCACCACAACAAAGAAAGAAAACUUAAAAAAAAUGGCAAAACCACCACUGCAAUCGCAAAACCACCAUCGCAUCGGACCGUACUGUAGCGCACAACCACACCACAGUACUACCACGACUACACAGCCGCAGACCACUACCUUAGAACCAUCGUAACACCCCUAAUCCUCCACAAAAAGUACAAAUAUAACCAUCAGUCACUGUAAACUACCAUAACCAAGGAGAAAUCAAACUCAGAAAAAAAGUAAUAACAGAUCUAUAGUGAUGCUGUAUUGUCGCCACAACAAAUGAACAGAUUAAGAUCUCUAUCAAUCUGCAGUGUCACUACUUCGAAGUGACAAUAAGAACCCAGCGGCUCAACGGCUGCGCGUGGUGAGUAUGUUGGCGCUUCAACGAUUGUGGGUGGGGGUAUGGUGACACCACACGAUGCAGUUGGUGGAUUACUAUGGUAGCACCGUGAGAUGCGGUUGGCGGAUUAUGGCUGCUAUGGGUAUGGUUUGAGUGUGGGUAAUGAUGAAUUUAUAAGAUUGCGAUUAGGGAUAAUAUGGUGUCGGAGUUUGGUGUGUGGUGGUGUUAUGGGGUACUAUGGUGGUUGUUUUACAGUUGCUGUAGUGUGUGGUGGUAUUGUGGUUAUUGUUAUGGUGGUUUUGCAUUGUUGUGAUAAGUGGUGGUGGUUUUGCACGAUGUGGUGAGAUAGUUGUAAUGUUAGUGGGGGUCAUAGCGACAGUGACGACGGUGCAAUUGUCGUGGGUAGGUGUGGG
rnacentral:lncRNA from 1 species